rnacentral:rRNA from 1 species
AUUGAACGCUGGCGGCAUGCCUUACACAUGCAAGUCGAACGGUAACAGGUCUUCGGAUGCUGACGAGUGGCGAACGGGUGAGUAAUACAUCGGAACGUGCCUAGUCGUGGGGGAUAACUACUCGAAAGAGUGGCUAAUACCGCAUGAGAUCUACGGAUGAAAGCAGGGGAUCGCAAGACCUUGUGCUACUAGAGCGGCCGAUGGCAGAUUAGGUAGUUGGUGGGAUAAAAGCUCACCAAGCCGACGAUCUGUAGCUGGUCUGAGAGGACGAUCAGCCACACUGGGACUGAGACACGGCCCAGACUCCUACGGGAGGCAGCAGUGGGGAAUUUUGGACAAUGGGCGAAAGCCUGAUCCAGCAAUGCCGCGUGCAGGAUGAAGGCCUUCGGGUUGUAAACUGCUUUUGUACGGAACGAAAAGCCCCGGGUUAAUACCCUGGGGUCAUGACGGUACCGUAAGAAUAAGCACUGGCUAACUACGUGCCAGCCGCCGCCGUAA